AGACGAUUUCAGCAAGAAAAGGUGACCGAAUAUGGGUUCACGUGUCAGCACGUGUACAAUAAACCAAAAGCUUGCAACGGCACGUGGCAAUCCGUGAAGAAGAUUCCGGCCACGAGACUCUAGAGUAGACUGGCCAACUUCUUAGGAAGCUGUUAGGACAGUAAAUGAUGUGGCACACUUCUCAAACACCAAUGGUUUGAGAA
rnacentral:misc_RNA from 1 species